rnacentral:lncRNA from 1 species
GACAUGAAGAGGAACACACCGGCGGGAGAACACAGAACACGCACCCUUUCUUUUAGUCACCCUGGAGGCCUCGGAGAAGGCGGUUUCAGUGAUCCGUGAAGAGACCCCGAGUCUUUUACAUCCCGGAGAAUGACAAGAGAGCGAGUACCUGGGCGACGUUUACGUUCUGGGAUUUCGGGAGAUGCGGUUUUCUGCACGCCAGGGGCCAAGCCUGAGACGUAGAUGGACGGCAGGGAUAGGAGCUCUCUCCGCGCCACAAACGCCCCUGCUCAUACCUGGGUUCCUUGAUUUUCCUGCCUAUAUAACCCAGCCUCCCAUGGCCGGGCUCUGAGCUCUCAUUCUGCGGACUGGGACAAAGGGGUUAACUGUGAUGCGCUUUGUAUAACCCCAGGAUUCUGCACUUGCCCAAGGGCGAGGUGCAAAUCAAAAACUACGCACAACUGAACACCGAGAUCAGAAAUUGACAAGCUUAUUCUGAAGGACCUAGAGUAACCUAAAUAAUUAGGAAAAGAAAAACAAAGAGGACUUACACCAGGUGAUGUCAAGACUUAUUAUAAAGCUAAGGAUCCCGACUCAGAUUGAAAAAGCAGAGGAUGGUCACUGCCUUCCAGGUCUGAGGCUGUCUCCCAGAAACUUCAUUCCUCGCUUCGCCUUGGUUCUCCAUCACUUUCUGAGUCCUACAGGAGGAAAGUGCUAUUGAAGAUGAGGCGCGUAUGGCGUGAAGUUCUGGGGCUGGGAGAAGCUGCCCCGCUACUUCCGGGUGGCCUUGCCUGCAGGGAGCAGUUUGUAUUCCCCGUUGUUUCUCCUGUUGACGACAUCUGUGCCUCUUAUCUGGGAGAAGAUCAGAGGAAACUGCCGCCUCCCCCAAGCACGUGUUUUACUGCUCCCCAUUUCACAACCUAGUGCUGUCCACUUGCAUGGGAUGUUUCUUUUCCAUCACAAUGCUCUGAGAUAACGAAGUCGAGGGAAGUUUGUGCAGCCCUCCAGACCCUCCAGAUUUCAAAGGAAAGCCCACCGCUGCUGGUCUGGGGGAGCUGAUGGCCUAUUCAUGGAUGAGAUGGACUAAGGACAGUGGGAAGCACAAUGGACCAACAGUAUUGUUGGAGGGGACUGCGUGAGGAAGCAGGAGCCUAAACAACACUCUCCAGAUACUGCGUGAACACUGUC